UAAUACAUUUGCACAAAAAAAGCUAUUUUUGCUUUGUCAUUAUGGGGUAUUGUGUGUAGAUUGCUGAGGAUAUUUAUUUAUUUAAUCCACUUUAGAAUAAGGCUGUAAUGUAAAUGUGGGAAAAGUCAAGGGGUCUGAAUACUUUCUGAAGGUACUGUAUAUGAGUCUUGUGAUUUAGGAAAAUGUCAUUAUGAUAGUGUUUUAGUAUAAAUGGGUCCUAGUGAAAUAAUUGUUGGUGUGUGUGUGUGUGUGUGUGUGUGUGUAUAUAUAUAUAUAUAUAUUAGUAGUUAAUAAUAUCAUUUAUUAGAUAAGAAAACGCUAAUAAUGAAUAUACUUUUCCUACAGUGCCUUCAGAAAGUAUUCAUACCCCUUGACUUAUUCUACAUGUUGUGUUACAGCCUGAAUUGAAAAUGGAUUAAAUAUAUUUUUUGGCACCCAUCUACACACAAUAAAUACCCCAUAAUGGAAAAAGUGAAAACAUGUUUUAAGAUAUUUCAGCAAAUUUGUUGAAAAUGAAAAACAUCUAAUUUACAUAAGUAUUCACACCCAUUUGCUAUGACACUCCAAAUUGAGCUCAGAUGCAUACAAUUUCCUUUGAUCAUCCUUGACAUGUCACUACAACUUGAUUGGAGUCCACCUGUGGCCAAUUCAAUUGUUUGGACGUGAUUUAGAAAGAAACACACUUGUCUAUAUAAAGUCCCACAGUUGACAGUGCAUAACAGUAAAUCUUCGAGAGAGAAUUGUGAGGAGGCAUAUAUCUGGAGAAGGGUAUAAAGAAAAUUCGAGCGUGUUGAACAUUUCCAAGAGCACAGCGGUCUCCAUCAUUGGGAAAUCUGGGCUUUAUGGGAGAGUGGCCAGACGGAAGCCACUCCUGAGAAAAAGGCACAUGACAGCACGCCUGGAGUUUGCGAAAAGGCACUUGAAAGAUUUGGAGCGUAAGGCAAAAUAUUCUGUGGUCUGAUGAUUUGGCCUGAAUGGAAAGCACUAUGUCUGGAGAAAACCAGGCACAGCUUAUCACCCAUCUAACACCGUCCCUACCGUGAAGCAUGGUAGUGGCAGCAUCAUGCUAUGGGGAUGCUUUUCAGCGGCAUGGACUGGGAGACUGGUAAGAACAGAGGGAGCAAUUAAUGGAGACAAAUACAGGCAAAUCAUUAAUGACAACCUGCUUCAUUGCAAACAACCUUAGACUGGGGAAAAGACAGCCAAAGCAACGCUGGAAUGGCUUCAGAACAAGACUGAAAGUCCUUGAGUGGCCCAGACUUGAAUCCCAUUGAAAAUCUGUGGAAAUACACCACCGCUCCCCAUCUAACUUAACAGAGGUUGAAAAAAUCUGCAAGGAAGAAUGGGAGAAAAUCCCCAAAUCUAGAUGUGCAAAGCUGAUCCAGACAUACCCAACACGACUCAAAGCUGUAAUCCCCACCAAAGGUGCUUCUACAAAGUAUUGACACGAGUGUGAAUACUUUUCUGUAUUUCAUUUAAAACAUUUGCUAAUUUCUAAAAACAUGUUUUCACUUUAUCAUUAUGGGGCAUUGUGUUCAGAUGGGUGAGAAUUGUUUCUUUUGAAUUCAGGCUGUAUCACAACAAUGUGGAAUAAGUCAAGGGUAUGAAUACUUUCUGAAGGCACUUGGUAAGUGUGAUUUUGUGAGUAUGACAUUCCUGCCUGUGUGGGUUUGAGCAGCUGUGACAGGAGGCCUAUUCAGGCUGAACCUGGGUCUCGGGGGACUGGUGGCAGGCACGGCCAUAGGAGUAACCAUGGGGUGAGAUGAUAUAAGGGUUUUCAGUGGCAAAAUAACGGACUGGUUUUGAACAAAGUGGUUACCUGGACUAAUAGUGUUUACAGUGGAGAAGAGGUUUGAGGAGCAGUUUGAGGGAGCCAGAUACUGCAGGGUAAAAAAUGAACUAUGAAGCCUGAAGAAUGUGAGAAGAAAGUCUCUGGCUGCCAGCUGCGCCCCCUCCCUGCAACCCCUCUGCUACCCAGCUGCCCUCCCCCUAGCCAUGCGCUGGGUGCCAGAGGGACUCAUGUGCGUUGCAGAGGGUUGUGUUUUGGGCAGUAGAGCAGGGACGGAGGCCAAGGCAGCAGCUGCCCCUCUAUUUUUACCAACCCAUUGUUACGCCAGCGUUUCAUCUCCAUCCAGCCCCCUCUAUCUCUGCUGCACUAGUCCCUUCUCUCCUCUCCUCUUCACCUGUCUUCUCCAUCCUUUUCCUCUCCUGCCUCUCUUCCCCCUUUUGAUUUGUAUGUAUAUCUAAUGUGUCAGUGAAGGUUUUUAGUGUAGUAAUGGACUGGUUGUAUGUGAUCCAACAUCCAUGUUGCUGUGUCUCCAGAGCGAAGCAGAGCGCUGUCCAUGUCUGCCUCAGUGCCCAGCCACCUGGACUGUGUGUUUGAUGUGUGCAAACAGUCCCGGGAGCACCCACAGCCGCAGCCAGGUGUAACGUGGGUGUGGGGGGAUGAAAGCAGGCAGCUAAUCAGAUAACGCAUCACGCUCCAAAUGUCUGCCCCUACCUCCUUCAUAGUCCUGACACAUGGAUGAGGUGAUGGGGGCGGGGCGGGUUACUAAGUGAGUGAUAGCCACCACAGCUCUUCAUGCUAAGCUGAGUUUAGGAGGGUUGGAAUGAGAGGUGUAGUCGAUAACAGGAAAUGCUCAGAGAGGCAGCAACAUGGCGUCCAUCUCUGAAGUUGGCCAAACUCUCUGUAUUGUAUAACAGUCUGAGAGUAAGUGACAGCCACAGUGACAGAAUUUAAUGUGACGCAGAACAUUGACAUGUUGGAAUGAAGGUGAUGUCAGCUCGGCUCAUGUCAUCUCUUGUCAGGGUGCCGGCAGGAGCUCUGAUCAUCGCCAUGCAGGGAUUGGCUGGAGCUCUGAUCAUCGCCAUGCAGGGAUUGGCUGGAGCUCUGAUCAUCGCCAUGCAGGGAUUGGCAGGAGAAACGGUCUGGGAGAGGAGGAGGAGGAGGAGGGAGCGCAGAGAUCUGUAUGAACUACAACUGGCAGAAUGGAGUGCCCGUUUGCAGUUGAUGGAUGACCUGAUUGGUGAUUUGAGCAGCAGUGGGCGGACCCAGGAUGUAGACAAGGACCAAUCAUAGCCAUCCUCACAGACAGACAAUGGUGGGUGGGACUUUCCUCACCCCUGAGGACAUACUGUUGUUUCUGUUGAUGUUGACUACUCUAUUCUGUUUACUUCUGUUGAAUGGAAAAGGAGACCUACUUAUUCACUCAACAAAAUAUGUAUUGAUGCUGUAUUAUGAUUUAUACUGUAAAUGUGAUUGCUUUGUCUGGAACUUUUAAAUGAUUUCCAACAUGUUUAAUAUAAAUGGCAAUAAUGACACAAUA